UUCUCCCUGCUGUCCUCUUGCUUCUUGCUGCUUUCCCCUUCUUUCUCCCUGCUGUCCUCCUCUUGCUUCUUGCCUCUUUCCCCUUUUUUCUCCCUGCUGUCCUCCUCUUGCUUCUUCCCUCUUUCCCCUUCUUUCUCCCUGCUGUCCUCCUCUUGCUUCUUGCCUCUUUCGCCUUCUUUCUCCCUGCUGUCCUCUUGCUUCUUGCUUCUCCCUCCCCUCCUCUGCUUGCAGAGCAUCCAUGCAUUUGUGAAUAUUUUUAUUUGUAUCCUUCUUAGGUUUGAAGUUUACUGUUUUCCUCUAAUAUCCUGGCGUUAGUCAUUCAAAACUCUUCAUAACUACCAUACCUCCAAAACAGAAAUUUUUUUAAGAUGAAUUGUUGUUAAGUCUAAAUCACAGAAGGAAAGACUCAUCUGGCAUCCUUGAGAUGGACAUUCUGCCUUUCUUGCAGAUUUACAAUACAUAAAUGUCAGCUGUUUUAAUAUUGAUGUGUGUUUUGUUUAAUUUAUUCUCAAUUGAGAAACCUUUUCUCUCUUGUGGCAAAAAGUAGCAUAUUAGAUCAGUUAGUAAAUCUCAGAAUAGGAUGUGAUGAUAUAAUAAAUGACAGAGGUAGAUAUUAGGGUGUGGCAUACAGGGAUAGGAUGAAGCUGUGUUUUCGGUUUUUUAAAUUAACACAAUGGUACAAAUUUAUGGGGUACAUAAGGAUGCUCCAAUACAUACAGUGUAUAGUGUUCAGAUCACGGUAAUUACCAUAUUCAUCAUCUCCAAUAUUUAUCAUUUCUUUAUGUUGGGAACAUUCAAUACACUCUUUUCUAGCUAUUUGAAAAUAUGUAAUAUAUUACUGCUAACUGUCAUCAUUCUACAGUGCUAUAGAACACUAGGAGUAUUCCUCCUAUCUGGCUCAACUUCCACGUAUGAGUGCGAAAUGCAGCGUUUAAAUUCCUGGGCCUGGCUGACUUCGCUUCAAGUCCUGUCCUUCAGGUUCACCCAUGCAGCCACAAAUGGCAGCAUUUGGCUGAAUAUACUCCAUUGUGUGUAUGUACCACAUUGUCUUUAUUCAUUCACCUGUUGCAGGACACUUAGGUUUGUUCCAUAUCUUGACUAUUGCAACUAUUGCGAAAUUAACAUGGGGUGCAGAUAUGUCUUUGACAUACUGUUUUUCUUUCCUUUGGUUAAAUGCUAGUGGUGGGAUUGCCAGAUCAUAUGGUAAUUCUAUUUUUAUUUAUAUAUAUAUUUUUUGAGAAACCUCUGUACUAUUUUCCAUGGUGGUUAUACCAGUUUGCAUUAUCACCAACAGUGUGUGAGUUUCAUUUUCAUUGCACCCUCACCAACAUUUGUCAUUUUUUGGGUCUAUUUAGUAAUAACCAUUCUAACAGGGGUAAGAUAAUAUCUUAUUGUGGUUUUUAUUUGCAUUGCCCUGAUGAUUAGUGAUCUUAAGCAUUUUUUCAUAUAUUUAGUCAUUUGUCUUCUUUUGAGAAAUGUCUAUUCAGAUUAUAUGCCUAUUUUUCAGUAGGAUUAUUUGUUUUCAUUGCAGAGAGAUUUGAGUUCCUUGUAUACUCUGAUAUUUAUCCUUUGUCAGAUAAAUAGUUUAAAAAUAUUUGCUCCCUUUUUGUAGCUUGUCUCUUUACUCUGCUGUUUCCUUUGCUGUACAUAACCUUUUUAGUUCUUUAUAUCCCUUUGUUUAUUUUUGCUGUUGUUAUCUGUGUUUCUGAGGUCUUAUUCGUACAGUUUUUUCUCAGACCGGUGUCCAGAACCAUUGCCUCUAUUUUUUUUAUCUAGUAGUUUUAUAGUUUUGGGUCUUACAUUUAGAUCUUCAAUCCAUUUUGAGUUGAUUUUUUUAUACAAAGUGAGAGAUGACAGUCCAGUUUCAUUCUACUGUAAGUGAAUAGCCAGUUCUCCCAGUACCAUUUAUUGAAGAAAAAUUUCUCAAUGUAUGUUCUUGAAGGCUUUGUGCCCUGUCCUCUCGCUCUCCUCCCCUGGCAGCAUGAGCUUCACCACUCGCUCCUCCUUUUCCACCAACUACCGGUCCGUGGACUCCGUCCAGGUGCCCAGCUAUGGCGCCCGGCUGGUCAGCAGCACAGCCAGCGUCUGUGCAGGUGCCGGGGGCUCUGGUUCUCGCAUCUCCGUGACGCGCUCCGCCAGCUUCCGGAGCGGCGUGGGGGUUGGGGGCCUGGCCGCGGGGAUGGCCAGGGGUCUGGCAGGAAUGGGAGGCAUCCAGAACGAGAAGGAGACCAUGCAAAUCCUGAACGACCGCCUGGCCUCCUACCUGGACAGAGUCAGGAGCCUGGAGACCGAGAACUGGAAGCUGGAGAGCAAAAUCCGGGAGCACCUGGAGAAAAAGGGACCCCAGGUCAGAGACUGGGGCCAUUAAUUCAAGACCAUCGAGGACCUGAGGGCUCAGAUCUUCUCAAAUACUGUGGACAAUGCCCGCAUCGUUCUGCAGAUUGACAAUGCUCGUCUUGCUGCUGAUGACUUUAGAGUCAAGUAUGAGACAGAGCUGGCCAUACGCCAGUCUGUGGAGAGUGACAUCCAUGGUCUCCGCAAGGUCAUCGAUGACACCAAUGUCACUCGGCUGCAGCUGGAGACAGAGAUCGAGGCUCUCAAGGAGGAGCUGCUCUUCACGAAGAAGAACCAUGAAGAGGAAGUAAAUGGCCUACAAGCCCAGAUUGUCAGCUCUGGGUUGACCGUGGAGGUAGAUGCCCCCAAAUCUCAGGACCUUGCUAAGAUCAUGGCAGAAAUCCAGGCUCAAUAUGACGAGCUGGCUCGGAAGAACCAAGAGGAGCUGGACAAGUACUGGACUCAGCUGACUGAGCAGACUACCACAAUAGUCACCACACGGUCCACGGAGGUUGAAGCUGCUGAGAUGACGCUCACAGAGCUGAGAUGUACAGUCCAGUCCUUGGAGAUCAACCUGGACUCCAUGAGAAAUAUGAAGAUCAGCUUGGAGAACAGCCUGAGGGAGGUGGAGGCCCGCUACGCCCUGCAGAUGGAGCAGCUCAACAGGAUCCUGCUGCACCUGGAGUCAGAGCUGGCACAGACCCGGGCAGAGGGACAGUGCCAGGCCCAGGAGUACGAGGCUCUGCUGAACAUCAAGGUCAAGCUGGAGGCUAAGAUCGCCACCUACCGCCGCCUGCUGGAAGAUGGGGAGGACUUCAGUCUCAGUGAUGCCUUGAACAGCAGCAACUCCAUGCAAACCAUCCAAAAGACGACCACCUGCCGGACAAGGGAUAGCAAGGUGGUGUCUGAGACCAACGACACCAAAGUUCUGAGACAUUAGGCCAGCAGAAGCAGGGGACCCUUGGGGGAGCAGGAGGCCAAUAAAAAAUUCAGAGGUCAAAAAAAAAA